rnacentral:rRNA from 1 species
AUGUGCAUUAAAUUGAAGGGAGAAGAGCGGCCUACAAUGAGGGAAGUGGAGAUGAAACUUGGAAUUCUGAGAGUUAACAUGCGUGCGGCACCUGAUAUUGCUGCAUCAAGGAGAUGUGAUGGAGGUCAUGGUGGAUCUCUAUGGAUGCCAACUGAAGGAGUUGUUGUGGAAGCAAGCAGGCAAUACACUAUGGAGGAAGAAAUAUUGUUGUCUGCGAGUUAUCCUCGAUGA